rnacentral:lncRNA from 12 species
UGCCCUCACUUAGGAGAAUCCACAUUGAUUCAUUCCCAAAGCUCCAACUUUGAAUGCUCAUAUUAUUUUUAUUAAAUUUAACUCUGGUUCUUCUUCCUUUCUCCCCUUUCCCCUGCACCCUCCAGCUAUAUCAGCCUCAGAGUCAAAACAGGAAUAAAUGGAAAACACAUUGGAAAGAGGAUUAUGUCCAUAUGGAGGAGGAUUGACAUCCAUUUCCAAACUGGGAAGAUUGAGUUACACCAGCCAGUUUUGCCUUUGGUUACCCACCCAAAAUGCCUGUGCAGAUUCAACAGGAUGUUGACCUGGAUCUCUCAGAACAGCUCAUGGAGAGGAAAGACCCUCUGACACAAAACCACGUCACUGCAGAGGGAACUGUAAUGUCAGGGAGGGCAUCUGGAAGAUCAAAGUGGGGAUGAACCAAUCACUCCAAGAUCACUCCAAGCUGAAUGGUUUUGCAUGGCUGAAUUUUAUUUCCAGCCUUUUGAAGCACAGCUCAUGAGUCUUAACAAGGAAAGAACUUCUGUGUAAAAUUCAGUAAAUCAAAAAAGCUG